ensembl:lincRNA
GUCAGCCGCAGCAGAACUUACACAGAUGGACGGAGAAGAGAGUCCUUACAACAAAGGUUAGCAUGCUGCAGGGUUAAAAACCUCAUUUUAAUAGAGAAGAAAACCAACCAGCCAGAGUUUUUCACAUUUCUCAUCCGUGCUAUUUGAUGGUUGGGUAGUAAAAUCAUUAAAUAUUAGUGGACUCUGUCAACUUAGAGAACUAAGAUAGCUAUUUUCAUAGAUCAAACUGUAUUUUUUUUAGAUCAAAGAAAUGGCUUUUAUUUUCUUGAGAUUUUGGUAGCGAUUUGAUUUUUUAAAACAUUCUUGGGAUUAUGGUAAUUACGUCAUUUUCCUCCCUCGUCUGCCCAAACAUGACCUGAGCGCUGACAACAGAAAUCCACACCCUAUGUGGAAGGAAUCGACACCCAGUGUGGAAGAAUCACCCUACACUCAAGGAGACUCAACCCGAGACAAAGAACUGCAAGCAACCACCGAAUGCUGACAGCGGGAGAAAGUGUUCCCCUGGGAAGAGCUCAGAAUUGUAAAAGGCAACUUUUCAGAAAACAAAGUUAGGGAUAUCUUGCCUGGGUUCCCUUUCAAACUUCCAUGAUGCCCGGGUGUUGUUUUCUUCAUUUUCUUAUUUGCAGAAAUUAUUACUGAGAAGCAUUCCAUGUGGAAUAAAGAUUGAGUAGCUCUCAGUCUUGUAAGUCAAAAACAUCUGGAAUUACUCAGACAUUAAUAAAAAUCGCCAGCACAGUUCAGAAAUAAAAGCAGCACUAGGUGGCACUGGAAGAUCGCGGCUCCGUGGCACUCCCUGCUCUUCGUUUUCUCCUAUAAUUCUCAAGGGGAAGAAGCGGAGCUAUGGGGGGAAAUCAUGGCUACAGAGGCUGGAGUUAUCACAGAGAAAGGAGCUUCAGAUGGGAAAAUGCCUCCAUGAGAUCCAGCUGUAAGGGGUAAAGAUACAUUUCUGAUGUCUUUAGCCACUCUUGCAGCUACAAGAAGACAUGUGAUCCACUUUGGGCCAAUAAAU